rnacentral:rRNA from 1 species
UACGGAGGGUGCAAGCGUUAUCCGGAUUCACUGGGUUUAAAGGGUGCGUAGGUGGAUUAGUAAGUCAGUGGUGAAAUCUCCGGGCUUAACCCGGAAACUGCCAUUGAUACUAUUAGUCUUGAAUACCGUGGAGGUCAGCGGAAUAUGUCAUGUAGCGGUGAAAUGCUUAGAUAUGACAUAGAACACCAAUUGCGAAGGCAGCUCGCUAAACGAAUAUUGACUCUGAGGCACGAAAGCGUGGGGAUCAAACAGG